rnacentral:misc_RNA from 1 species
UCCGAGUUGACCCCGGCAGUCUCCCAUGAGUCCCCACCAUCACGUGCUGGCAACAUGGAACGAGGGUUGCGCUCGUUGCGGGACUUAACCCAACAUCUCACGACACGAGCUGACGACAACCAUGCACCACCUGUAAACCGGCCCCGAAGGGAAGGACUGUUUCCAGCCCGGUCCGGCCCAUGUCAAGCCUUGGUAAGGUUCUUCGCGUUGCAUCGAAUUAAUCCGCAUGCUCCGCCGCUUGUGCGGGCCCCCGUCAAUUCCUUUGAGUUUUAGCCUUGCGGCCGUACUCCCCAGGCGGGGCACUUAAUGCGUUAGCUACGGCACAGGCGGGAUUAAUACCGCCCACACCUAGUGCCCAUCGUUUAGGGCGUGGACUAC